rnacentral:pre_miRNA from 2 species
AGAUUGAAAGUAGAGCUCCUUUAAGUUCAAACGAGAGUUUAGUAGGGUAAAGAAAAGCUGCUAAGCUAUGGAUCCCAUAAGCCCUAAUCCUUAUAGAGAGAAAAAAAAGGAUUUGGUUAUAUGGCUUGCAUAUCUUAGGAGCUUUAACUUGCCCUUUAAUUGCUUUUACUCUUCUUUGGAUUGAAGGGAGCUCUACAACUUCUUUCU